AUUUGCUGUUCCUGCAACAAAACUGCAUAUGUAAGGGUUAAAAUGGAUAACCUUAAAAGACCGGGGCCAAAGCACAGGAGACUGAUUCCAGGAACAUCGGGGAAGCGGCAGAAGAAAAAGAAAAACUAAAGUGACAAGACUUGGAUUCAUGACAAAAUGGACACCAUCUGCACCUGAUGGACCCCAUUGAGGCCAAUGCUUCAUGCCACACAGCCAGGCCAGUUAAGGUGUGGAUGGAGGACCACCAGAUCAAGACCCUGUCAUGGCCAGCCCAAUGACCUGAACCCCAUUGAAAAUGUCUGGAGUUUUAUCAAAAGGAAGAUGGAUGGUCACAAACCAUCAAACAAAGUCAAGCUAUUAGAAUUUUUGUGCCAGAACUGGAAUUAAAUCACCCAACAGUAAUGUGACU